UUUGAUCCUAGUUCAGGAUGAAUGUUAGCGGCGUGCCUAAAGUAUGCAAGUCGAACGGACUAUUAUACCGUCUAGUUUACUAGACACCUUAAUAGUUAGUGGCGAACGGCUGAGUAACACGUAGGAAUCUACCCUUAUCUUGGGAAUAACCAAUCGAAAGAUUGGCUAAUACCCAAUGUGAAGGCAACUUCAAAGAUUUAUCGGAUAAGGAUGAGCCUGCGGCCUAUUAGCUUGUUGGUGGGGUAAAAGCCUACCAAGGCGAUGAUGGGUAACUGGUCUGAGAGGAUGUACAGUCAGAAGGGCACUGAGAUACGGGCCCUACUCCUACGGGAGGCAGCAAUUGGGAAUCUUGCGCAAUGGGCGAAAGCCUGACGCAGCGACGCCGCGUGAAGGAUGAAUGCCUUCGGGUUGUAAACUUCUGUGAAUAGCACCGGCUAACUACGUGCCAGCAGCAGCGGUCAAACGUAGAGUGCAAGCAUUAUCCGGAUUUACUGGGCGUAAAGAGUUCUGUAGGCGGUUGUGUAAGUCAUAGGUUAAAGACCUCGGCCUAACCGAGGGAGUGCUUAUGAUACUGCAUAACUAGAGGAAGUUAGGGAAUAGCGGAACGUAUGGAGGAGCGGUGAUAUGCGUUGAUCUCAUACGGAACACCGAGGGGGUAGCCAGCUAUUUGGGACUUUCCUGACGCUGAGAGACGAAAGCGUGGGUAGCGAAACGGAUUAGAUACCCGUGUAGUCCACGCCGUAAACGAUGUCUACUAGAUACUUGCAAUUUUUGUGGGUGUCGAAGCUAACGCGUUAAGUAGACCGCCUGGGGAGUACGGUCGCAAGAUUAAAACUCAAAGGAAUUGGCGGGUUCCCGCACAAGCGGUGGAGCAUGCUCUUUAAUUGGCUGCUAACCCAAGGACCUUACCCAGAUUUGACAUGUAACUGCGAAUCCUGUGAAAGCAGGACAUCCUUCGAGGGAGUUACACAGGUGUUGCAUGGCUGUCGUCAGCUCGUACCGUGAGGCGUACCCUUAAGUGGGUUAACGAGCGCAACCCCUACCGUCAGUUGUAUCACUCUGGCGGAACUGCCGUCGCAAGGCGGAGGAAGGUGGGGAUGACGUCAAGUCGGUAUUGCCUUUAUGUCUGGGGCCAGAAGCAUGCUACAAUGGCGCGCACAACGAGUUGCAACACAGCGAUGUGAAGCUAAUCUCUUAAAACGCGUCUCAGUUCGGAUUGAAGUCUGCAAUUCGACUUCAUGAAGUUGGAAUCGCUAGUAAUCGCAGGUCAGCUAUACUGCGGUGAAUACGUUCUCGGGAAC
rnacentral:rRNA from 1 species